CCACACGUCGCAUAUUGAGAGAAUGUCCCGCAUUUUCAUCAGUCUGUUCCGACGAGCAUACAAUUGUGUAGUGAUCAUGUUCUCCAACAGAGGGGGCUAUGCAGCUACACUUGUUCACGCGCGCGCGCCGCUACUUCAUGAGGAACGUAAUCUGGAUCUGGACCAGAGCAAAGCAAAGCGCCAUUAUCGUCAAAUAUCAAAAUAAACAUCGUUAUCAGUUUCAAGACAGUCCUUCAGAAGCCUGUGGAUGAUGAGGACAGAGACGACUCCACUGCUGCUGAGAUCAUGAGCGUCAUCACGAGCUGUAUGUGAAGCUUUACUGAAGAAGCAUCAGCAAACAUGCUGAGUGACCUGAUGAAGUUCAGGCUGGGACGGGAGGUGUCAGAAGAGAACCUGGAUCUCUUCAGAUUCCCUGUUGCACACACCCCCCCCCCCCCCC